GUGCAUCCCCUUCGUCCCCACCUAGCUGGGAGUGACUCAGCUGGGUGACUUGUCAACUCCAUGUAAAAUCUCAGGCCCAGCCCCUGGGAGGGGUUCCAGUUCCAUCUCUGGCAUUUCAUUAAAGUUGGGACCAUCUUUCUCCGGCUUUUUGCAGCCAGGCUCAAAUCAGAUAAACUCCUUUGUUCUUCGUGGAACUGACAAGCAGUUAAAACCCCAUUAUUAUGCUAUAAUUUCAGAAAAUGGAUCCAAGUGAAUAGCUAAAUAGGGCUCAAGGCUGCUUAAUGAGACAUCUUAUUUGAGGCUUUCAAAUGUCAGAAAUUCCAGACAGCAGCAAGCUGAAGUCUCUGGGACCAACGUGUCAGCUCCAGGAAAGCUGGACCCCACGGUGCAGUGGAAGCAAAGAUUAAAACAGCAGGCUGGAGGAGCAGAAAUGUGAACAGCUGGAGGCCGGAAAAGAAAGGACACAAGCGGAGAAGAAACACCAGAGGAAAAAUAAUCCCUUAGAGGAGGAGGGAGGCCCAGUUCUGUGGACCCAGGAAUUACUGGACGUUUGGAGAGUCCCACAAAAGUGGGUGCCUUUGGAGUCCGCUGUAGAGAAGAACACCAGCCAGGGGUUCUCAGACGGCUGUGCCCUCCCAGAUCCUAAGGGCCCCACUCUGUUCCCCCAGGCUGGAGUGCAGUGGUGAGACCAUGGCUCACUGUGGCCUCGACCUCCCGGGCUCAAGGGAUCCUCCAACCUUAGCCUCCCAAUGUGUUGGCAUUACAGGCAUGCGCCAUCGCACCAGGCAAAACUGGACUCUUGUUCUGAAGUCAUGUGGGGGAACUGGGCCCCUGAGCGAGGCGAGGCUGUCUCAGGUCUGGGCCUUCUUUUCCGAGCUCCCUGACGUCUGACAUACCCUUGGUGAACAGCAGAAGGCACAUCGGAUCUACAUUCAGAUGCCUGCCUAUGCUGUGGGAUGCAAUCCUCCCUUAUGGAACAGUUCCUGCAGAAUUUCUCGGGGCCGUGCAGAUAAGGGAAGCAGGCAGCCUUAGGAAGCUGGGCAGGUGGAACCUACUGUACAGCCCACGAGCGCCAGCCUGCACUGAGGCCACUAGCAUUCGCAUCUCACCUCCCGGGAGCACCAGCCUGCACCGAGGCCUCUAGCAUUCAUGUCUCACUUCCUGCAAGCACCAGCCUGCACCGAAGCCUCUAGCGUUCACGUCUCACCUCCUGGGAGCACCAGACUGCACCGAGGCCUCUAGCGUUCAUGUCUCACUUCCCGCAAGCACCAGCCUGCACCGAGGCCUCUAGUGUUCACGUCUCACCUCCUGGGAGCACCAGCCUGUACCGAGGCCUCUAGCAUUCAUGUCUCACCUCCCGCAAGUGCCAGCCUGCACCGAGGCCUCUAGCGUUCACGUCUCACCUCCUGGGAGCACCAGCCUGUACCGAGGCCUCUAGCAUUCAUGUCUCACCUCCCGCAAGUGCCAGCCUGCACCGAGGCCUCUAGCGUUCACGUCUCACCUCCUGGGAGCACCAGCCUGUACCGAGGCCUCUAGCAUUCACGUCUCACCUCCCGCAAGUGCCAGCCUGCACCGAAGUCUGGCAUUCACGCUCACCUCCCGCAAGCACCAGCCUGCACCGAGGCCUCUGGCAUCCAUGUCUCACCUCCCGCAAGUACCAGCCUGCACCGAAGCCUAGCAUUCAUGCUCACCUCCCGCGAACACCAGCCAGCACUGAGGCCUCUGGCAUCCAUGUCUCACCUCCCGCAAGUACCAGCCUACACUGAAGCCCCUAGCAUUCAUGCCUCACCUCCCGGCCACACAAGGAAACAGAAAACUUUCUUGUCACUAAUGACCAACAGUGAAAAAGAACAAGCCAACCAUAACAACUUUUAAAGAAUGAAAAUGGUCAGAUGUUUCUUUUAUGCCUUUCUCUUAACAAUAAAACAUAGCCUAGCACAGAUGGGCCUGAGAAGGACUCCCAGACUCCUAGAUGGCUUCGAACCAUGUCCUUUCCUCCUGACGGCUCGUGGCUUGGCGUGAGGUUUCAUGUGUACAGGAAUUGGUGUGAGAGGCCAGUGUCCCAAUGAAUUGUGCAGCUGGGAUGGCAGGAGAGGGCUCCUCUGUGUACUGCG
rnacentral:lncRNA from 10 species